rnacentral:rRNA from 1 species
AUGAAGAUCGGGAAGACUACGGAGAUCUUGAAGAAGGCGGCGGCGGUGUGCAAGAGCAAGACCGCCGGGCUCCUCAUCCUCGCCUCGCUUCAGCGCCGCAGAAUGGCCUCGGGCCCAAUGGUCUCUAAGAAGAUCCACGCACUCACUCUGGCCAACCGGCAGAGAGUGGACUAUCGCAAGGCUUCUCAGCUCGGCAGAAUCGAGAAGGGACCAGUCGACUUCGCGGCCAAUCUCUCUCAUCAGUUGGAGAUGUUGGGUCAAGAUGAUGGUCAUGGUGGCUGCCAAGCUGACUGGUCACUACAUCCCCUCUUCAACGACGACAAUGUCAACUGCUGUUACAGUGGUGACGAUGAUGAUGUGGAUGUGCUACUGGAUGCGUGUGAUCAAGACGACGAUGAUGAGUUGUCGGUCCUAGAUGUGAUCAGGAGCAAGAGAGAGGUUGAGGGGUUGGAGUUCAACAUGGAGGAAGAGAUUGACCAGGCUGCUGAUAUGUUCAUCAAUAGGUUCCGGCAACGGCUGAACAAUGGAUUCUAG